CCUGUGGGCACGUGUGGCUUGUGCUGCCAGCUGCAAGCAAGGAUAGCUCUUCUCCUGCGUUUGAACUUGUGUUCUUUAUUUACCUGAAGUUGUCUGGCAUGCUGAUUGUUACUGCUGUUUCAUACAGAUCCCACGCUGAAUCGGUUAAACAGUUCACAUUGUAAGCGGGAAUUCAGGAACAGGCAUGCUUCUGGCUAGAAAGAGCAGCAGCGUGGAUCUGAACGGGUGGCUGUGCGCCAGCGCAGUGCUGGCCAGGGUCUGCUGCCCUGCCCUGUGCCUUAGCAGCCCUGGGUCCCAGUCUAUACGAGGAUCGAUGUGCCAUGUGGAGCCCAGAGUUGCUGGUCCCAGACGUUGCUUGUCUGGAAAGCGGGGAUUUCUAAGGCUUUCCUGAGCCACUGGGCUGGCCCCGACGGUGCAUUCCCAGCAUCCUGCCACUGAGCUUAGCGCGGAGCGGAAAGGGCCGCUGCAAUGCCAGGAGCCAGAAGGCAGUGCUGAAGGGCAGGCAGAGAGCCUGGGCUGGAUGUUCUCAGUUCCCUUCAGGUCACUGG